rnacentral:rRNA from 1 species
UUAAAUUGAAGAGUUUGAUCAUGGCUCAGAUUGAACGCUGGCGGCAGGCCUAACACAUGCAAGUCGAACGGUAACAGGAAACAGCUUGCUGUUUCGCUGACGAGUGGCGGACGGGUGAGUAAUGUCUGGGAAACUGCCUGAUGGAGGGGGAUAACUACUGGAAACGGUAGCUAAUACCGCAUAACGUCGCAAGACCAAAGAGGGGGACCUUCGGGCCUCUUGCCAUCGGAUGUGCCCAGAUGGGAUUAGCUAGUAGGUGGGGUAACGGCUCACCUAGGCGACGAUCCCUAGCUGGUCUGAGAGGAUGACCAGCCACACUGGAACUGAGACACGGUCCAGACUCCUACGGGAGGCAGCAGUGGGGAAUAUUGCACAAUGGGCGCAAGCCUGAUGCAGCCAUGCCGCGUGUAUGAAGAAGGCCUUCGGGUUGUAAAGUACUUUCAGCGGGGAGGAAGGGAGUAAAGUUAAUACCUUUGCUCAUUGACGUUACCCGCAGAAGAAGCACCGGCUAACUCCGUGCCAGCAGCCGCGGUAAUACGGAGGGUGCAAGCGUUAAUCGGAAUUACUGGGCGUAAAGCGCACGCAGGCGGUUUGUUAAGUCAGAUGUGAAAUCCCCGGGCUCAACCUGGGAACUGCAUCUGAUACUGGCAAGCUUGAGUCUCGUAGAGGGGGGUAGAAUUCCAGGUGUAGCAGUGAAAUGCGUAGAGAUCUGGAGGAAUACCGGUGGCGAAGGCGGCCCCCUGGACGAAGACUGACGCUCAGGUGCGAAAGCGUGGGGAGCAAACAGGAUUAGAUACCCUGGUAGUCCACGCCGUAAACGAUGUCGACUUGGAGGUUGUGCCCUUGAGGCGUGGCUUCCGGAGCUAACGCGUUAAGUCGACCGCCUGGGGAGUACGGCCGCAAGGUUAAAACUCAAAUGAAUUGACGGGGGCCCGCACAAGCGGUGGAGCAUGUGGUUUAAUUCGAUGCAACGCGAAGAACCUUACCUGGUCUUGACAUCCACAGAACUUUCCAGAGAUGGAUUGGUGCCUUCGGGAACUGUGAGACAGGUGCUGCAUGGCUGUCGUCAGCUCGUGUUGUGAAAUGUUGGGUUAAGUCCCGCAACGAGCGCAACCCUUAUCCUUUGUUGCCAGCGGUCCGGCCGGGAACUCAAAGGAGACUGCCAGUGAUAAACUGGAGGAAGGUGGGGAUGACGUCAAGUCAUCAUGGCCCUUACGACCAGGGCUACACACGUGCUACAAUGGCGCAUACAAAGAGAAGCGACCUCGCGAGAGCAAGCGGACCUCAUAAAGUGCGUCGUAGUCCGGAUUGGAGUCUGCAACUCGACUCCAUGAAGUCGGAAUCGCUAGUAAUCGUGGAUCAGAAUGCCACGGUGAAUACGUUCCCGGGCCUUGUACACACCGCCCGUCACACCAUGGGAGUGGGUUGCAAAAGAAGUAGGUAGCUUAACCUUCGGGAGGGCGCUUACCACUUUGUGAUUCAUGACUGGGGUGAAGUCGUAACAAGGUAACCGUAGGGGAACCUGCGGUUGGAUCACCUCCUUACCUUAAAGAAGC